rnacentral:rRNA from 1 species
CCUACGGGGGGCAGCAGUGAGGAAUAUUGGUCAAUGGACGAGAGUCUGAACCAGCCAAGUAGCGUGAAGGAUGACUGCCCUAUGGGUUGUAAACUUCUUUUAUCUGGGAAUAAAAUGUUCCACGUGUGGGAUUUUGUAUGUACCAUAUGAAUAAGGAUCGGCUAACUCCGUGCCAGCAGCCGCGGUAAUACGGAGGAUCCGAGCGUUAUCCGGAUUUAUUGGGGUUAAAGGGAGCGUAGGUGGAAUGUUAAGUCAGGUGUGAAAGUUUGCGGCUCAACCGUAAAAUUGCAGUUGAAACUGGCAGUCUUGAGUACAGUAGAGGUAGGCGGAAUUCGUGGUGUAGCGGUGAAAUGCUUAGAUAUCACGAAGAACUCCGAUUGCGAAGGCAGUUCACUGGACUGCAACUGACACUGAGGCUCGAAAGUGUGGGUAUCAAACAGGAUUAGAUACCCGAGUAGUC